GACAGAGGUGCCGAGCGUUAGGCGGAAUCACUGGGCUUAAAGCGUGUGUAGGCGGACUUCUAAGUACCUUGUGAAAUCCCACGGCUCAACCGUGGAACUGCUUGGUAUACUGGUUGUCUUGAGCCACUUAGGGGCAGUCGGAACAGACGGUGGAGCGGUGAAAUGCGUAGAUAUCGUCUGGAACGCCAACGGUGAACACAGACUGCUGGGAGUGUGCUGACGCUGAGACACGAAAGCCAGGGGAGCAAACGGG
rnacentral:rRNA from 1 species